UCUGCAAUGAUGAGAUAAAGCACCAUUUGGAGGUGUUUAUUGGGCAGUGGAUUCAUAUCCGUGAGCCUAUCAAAUAACGACUUCUCCUUCCACUGAGCAAA
rnacentral:snoRNA from 1 species